AAAAAAGAAGAAUGUAUGGAACUCAAAAUAAGCCACAAUCUUAUUUAAAACUAAGAAAACACCAAAUUAAGCAUUCAAAUCUCUCAACAAUGUCCAUAAUAAGAACAUGAGAAGAUAUAUGAAGAUACUACAGCACAUAAAAACUCUAAUUUGUAAGCACAGACACCACAAUAUAAAACGGUUGCUGGAAUCAAUGGUGACUACUUAGUUUCUGGGCUUGAAAUGGCCUUCGUUGGCCAGCUUAAAGAGCUGUCCCUGAGCAGCUGCAGCCUUGUUGGAGGAGAGUGCAGUUUUGAAACUCUCUCUGACUUGCCUUGUAGUGAAAGGAAAUUUGCUGCUUACCAUGGAGUUGAGCAAGGAAGCAGUGCCUUCUCUGUAGAGUGUCCCAUACCCAUCAGUACGUGCAUUUGAUAGUGCUUGUGGCAAGCUCAUGCUUGCUCCAAAUCCUGGCAUGCUAGUCACUCCAAAUGCGUUGCCUAGGUUUCCCCACCAUCCCAGGAGACCCCAUAUUAAUCCAGGAUGAUUCUUCCAGUAAUUGCACGUGAAUGGCGAACUCGGAUCGGGAAUAAAUGGAGGCGAGGGAACGAAAGGGGUGCUUGGUGUUGGUGGGUUCGCGAUGACCGGUGUUGGAGGACUACCACCAGAGCUCGGAGGAGAGGGGUGGGAGCCACCAGUGCUUGGAGGAGAGUGGUGGUGUCCACGACCGCUUGGAGGAUUUGAAGGUUUUGAUGGAGUAGGCACACUUGGUGGAGUUCCACAAUUUCCAUGGGAUGGGGACGGGGAUGGGGUUGUGUGGGUGGGUGGUGUGCCACCAUAUCCACCUCCAUGUGAUGGAGUACUACCACUUCCAUGGGGAGGGCUUCCGUGUGAUUCUGUAGGGGGACUUCUUGGAUUUGGGUCUGGGAAUGGGAAGAAGCUCUUUUGAUCUUCAAAGUUUGUAGCCAUUACAGGAACAGUGACCAAGUUUUGGCAAAGCAAACCUGCAGCGACUAAAACCCACAUCAACAUUGAGGCCUGAUUGCAUUCCUCCUUCCCCAUGAUCUCUGUGCUUGAAGAAACACAAAUGGAGAUUUUGAAAGACGAUGAGCAGCCAAGAGAAGGGAGCGGGUGAUUAUAUAAGGAAGACAGAGAGUGGCAGGUCAAGGAGUUGAUGGUUACUUGAUGUGUUAUAGAAGGGCAUAAAGACCUACUUUUA
rnacentral:misc_RNA from 1 species